rnacentral:rRNA from 1 species
AAGCUCGUAGUUGAAUUUCGGACCUGGCUGUGCGGUCUUGCCGAAAGGUAAGCACUGCACUGGUCGGGUCUUUCCUUCUGGGGAACCAGCGUGCUCUUAAUUGCGUGCGCUGGGGAUCCAGGACUUUUACUUUGAAAAAAUUAGAGUGUUUAAAGCAGGCCUACGCUUGGAUACAUUAGCAUGGAAUAAUAGAAUAGGACUUUGGUUCUAUUUUGUUGGUUUCUAGGACCGAAGUAAUGAUUAAUAGGGAUAGUUGGG